rnacentral:tRNA from 2 species
GGGCUCAUAGCUCAGUUGGUUAGAGUACUUGCAUGACAUGCAAGGUGUCCGAGGUUCGAGUCCUCGUGGGCCCA